GCUCUGGUGGCUUAGUUGGUUAAAGCGUCGGUCUCAUACCUGCAAGCCUCAAUUCACACAGGUGUACUACACAGACAUCUGAAGGUCGUAGAAUUCGACUCUCACCCAGAGCG